CAGGCGCAUCACGACGUGUGACCCCUGAACGCAUCACUCCUUCUGCUUUUUAAAAGACUUUUAACAUUUGGAGGAUUCACCUGAUGUGUUUUUUUCUUCUUUCAGAGAUCGCCUGAGGACUCAUUUUGACUGUAAAACAUCCUGAAGCCACAAGUUUCCACAUUCAGUUUCAUCUUUUACUGCAGAUCAAACUCUGGAGACGAUGUUUCCAGGUGAUCUCAUAUGAAGACAAAAGUUUUUGACAGAUGAGAACUGGAGGUUUACACACCGCUUUAAAAGAUAAAGCUGCGCACAUUCUGACUUGCCCAUGUAUUCAUAUUUUUCAUUGUUUACUGAAGACAAACAUCUUGGCAUGCAAAGUUUCGUUUUUGAAAAAGGGUCAGUGACUGCUGCCUGCUGGAGGAGCAGACGUCCUGUAUGAUAAGCUUUUCUCAUUUUAGUCUUGAAUAUUUUGGAUAAAACAAUGUGACAGAGCAUAAUGUAAGUGUUCCCUCAACCGAACCAAACUACAUGUAAAAAAUAAGUAAAAAUUGUAGGGGAAAAAACUCUACAACUUGUGAUUUCUUAUUAAAAUGCAAUCAUUUCCUGUUCUAAGUGCCAGUGUAACUCUGACCAUGAACUGUCUGACGUGAGCACACUUUGAUUGAUAACCCUCUCUGUUAUGCUCUUAGUGCCGCCAACUGAAAUCCAAACAAUCGUGUGGCCUUGUUGUUAGCUUCAUAUAAAAACGUUACUGAGGAUAUUUCUUGCUCUCCUUCACAUGUGCUUAUUGUCACUCUGUCAGAGUUUUGUGUCAAAUCUUUUCCUCCAGAAAUGAAGAGAAAAGUGAGGGAAGAUUUCUGUCGUUCAGCAGAGUUUGUUCACACUUCAGCUGCCCAGAUUAUUUAUGCUUAAAGCUUUAGAAAAAGAUCCAAAAUAAAGUUUUAUUUUGCUUCUUUUUCCUUUUUGCUUCAAGCUCGUAGACAAAUCCGUCAGUUCCAUGAGUGAAUCAAGCCGUGUGCAAACUAAAACCAAAAACCUGAAGCAGAAAAGAAAGUUCGCUCGACUGGACAAAAGCUUUCAACAUGGAGGGAAGAGAUUUCACUGCAGCUCAGCUCAGAGUUCCUCAGUAACUCGUCUCCAGUUUCCUCUCUCUGCUGCCCUCCAGGCUCACGCAGCAGUUUCAUUAUUUACGGCAGCUCACGUGCUUUUCAGGGGCAGAGAAAGGCAGCAAAGCUAAGACGUGAGGAAGAAUUUAAAUCUGCUUUAAUAAGAAUAUAAUAAUAAAGUCAAAAUGAAGGGCUUUAAUGUGUGGGGGCCCAUGUUCCGUGUGGAGCCGCAAACCCAUUUGUUCCGGCCCUGUUCCACUUCCACAGGGAAACUUACACAAAGUUUAUUCAGGAGUAAAACACCAGACAGAAGACGAGACUCUAACGUGCUGUCCUCUCUGACAGCUCUGGAUCUAUGAAGUGUUUUCGUGGGUCUGGAGUAGGCGACCACACCCUCUCACACCCCCGUCUGAAUGAGUGCGAGAUCGUGGCUCCAUCCUUCCCACAGACCUCAGACAAAAAAAUGUGGAGGUCAAAGAGAACAGAAAACAAAACAAGAAGCUCGUUGUUGCCCUGUGGCUGGCAGCUGACAUCCUGAGUCUGACACCCCAACGCAGGGUCCCGCUUCGAGCCGGGAUGUCAGAACCUUUCAGGGCUGACUGAAAGAAGGAGGGAAAGUGAAAACAGGAAGAGACGGUGACGCCCACCGAGCGUUACAGCUGGCACUGGAAACAAGAACCAAGAAGAAGAGUCUCGUAUAAACCGCCUGAAAGGCAGCAGAUCAGGUUACAUCAAAACACAGAAGCUUAAAGGAACAUUUCACCCCCAAAUCUAAAGCACACACGUUACCCGAAGUGCACUUUGUCUGUCACAGAGUUCUGGUGCGAGCUGCAGACAAACCAAAGCCUGACGAUGAUUUUGUUUUCGUCCACAUAUUUUGGCCAGAGGAGUGUCAACGUUAUGACAGCACGUGAACCAUCAGCCAGCUCAGGUGGCCUGCCAGAGUCCAAAACUCGCAGUAAGUCUGUGUAAACACUGAGCUCAGGUUUAAAAACUUCUUCUUAUUAUUUAGUAAUUCUGGCAAAACCCACUGAAACGCAAAAAGCUGCGACUGAUGAGAUCCCACGAGACGCAGACCUGAAGACACGCCAUGAAUUGUCAGCUGUCUCACAGCUGCACUGAAACCGAAGUCAACUUCCUGACACGGAAAGAGCCACGAGGUGAUUUUGAAACGAGAGUGUCUCUUGAAGGCCCUUGUUGUAUUCCUUGGGGAAGAUGUGGACAAACUCUUCAAGGAGUAUCUGGUUGGUCAGAAGGAUGAACAAGAGCUGGAGAGGUGUACCAUGGCAGAGGUGGAGGAUCCUCUCCAUCCCCCAUGUGCCACUGGGAUUGUUAUCGAUGGUGUGGAAGCCCUCAGUGAGCUGCCGUCACUCACACAUGGUUGUGCCCUGUGAUUUGGCCUCAUCUAUGCUCUAAACCUGAGCUGUCCACGUGAGUUAAAGCACACUUUUGAUGCACUGCAGAAAAUAUUCAUGGAGAUAGAACCAAAGACAAUGACACGCAGAGUGUUCAGUCUGACUUCCAAGCUCAACAUACAAGACUGAUGAAAACUUCUAUUUGUACACAAGAUCUCUAUGUAAAAAAUACUGUGAUGUGUUUCACAUGUGGUUAAGGUUACAAAAAGUUGUUACAGAAGGAAAAGAAAACAAUAAAAAGUCAGUAAUUGGAGGCUUUUAUUUUAUUUUGCUAUAU